rnacentral:rRNA from 1 species
GACGAACGCUGGCGGCGUGCUUAACACAUGCAAGUCGAACGGAAAGGCCCUGCCUUUGUGGGGUGCUCGAGUGGUGAACGGGUGAGUAACACGUGAGUAACCUGCCCUUGACUUUGGGAUAACUUCAGGAAACUGGGGCUAAUACCGGAUAGGAGCUCCUGCUGCAUGGUGGGGGUUGGUAAGUUUCGGCGGUUGGGGAUGGAUUCGCGGCUUUUCAGGUUGUUGGUGGGGUAGUGGCUUACCAAGGCUUUGACGGGUGGCCGGCCUGAGAGGGUGACCGGCCACAUUGGGACUGAGAUACGGCCCAGACUCCUGCGGGAGGCAGCAGUGGGGAAUAGUGCACAAUGGGCGGAAGCCUGAUGCAGCAACGCCGCGUGCGGGAUGACGGCCUUCGGGUUGUAAACCGCUUUCGCCUGUGACGAAGCGUGAGUGACGGUAAUGGGUAAAGAAGCACCGGCUAACUACGUG